GAUGAACGCUGGCGGCGUGCCUAAUACAUGCAAGUCGAGCGAACAGACGAGGAGCUUGCUCCUCUGACGUUAGCGGCGGACGGGUGAGUAACACGUGGAUAACCUACCUAUAAGACUGGGAUAACUUCGGGAAACCGGAGCUAAUACCGGAUAAUAUAUUGCACCGCAUGGUUCAAUAGUGAAAGACGGUUUUGCUGUCACUUAUAGAUGGAUCCGCGCCGCAUUAGCUAGUUGGUAAGGUAACGGCUUACCAAGGCAACGAUGCGUAGCCGACCUGAGAGGGGGAUCGGCCACACGGGAACGGAGACACGGUCCAGACUCCUACGGGAGGCAGCAGUAGGGAAUCUGCCGCAAUGGGCGAAAGCCUGACGGAGCAACGCCGCGUGAGUGAUGAAGGUCUUCGGAUCGUAAAACUCGGUUAUUAGGGAAGAACAAAUGUGUAAGUAACUAUGCACGUCUUGACGGUACCUAAUCAGAAAGCCACGGCUAACUACGUG
rnacentral:rRNA from 1 species